rnacentral:rRNA from 1 species
CACGUAGGGUGCGAGCGUUGUCCGGAAUUAUUGGGCGUAAAGAGCUCGUAGGCGGUGUGUCACGUCGGCCGUGAAAACCUGCAGCUUAACUGUGGGCGUGCGGUCGAUACGGGCAUCACUGGAGUUCGGCAGGGGAGACUGGAAUUCCUGGUGUAGCGGUGGAAUGCGCAGAUAUCAGGAGGAACACCGGUGGCGAAGGCGGCCUUCUGGACAGUGACUGACGCUGGAGAACGCGAAAGCUAGGGGAGCAAACAGG